rnacentral:rRNA from 1 species
AACGAACGCUGGCGGCAUGCCUAACACAUGCCAGUCGAACGAGACCUUCGGGUCUCGUGGCGCGCGGGUGCGUCACGCGUGGGAACCUGCCCUUAGGUUCGGAAUAACUCCCCGAAAGGGGUUCUAAUACCGGAUAAUGUCUUCGGACCAAAGAUUUAUCGCCUUUGGAUGGGCCCGCGUUGGAUUAGCUAGUUGGUAGGGUAAAAGCCUACCAAGGCGACGAUCCAUAGCUGGUCUGAGAGGAUGAUCAGCCACACUGGGACUGAGACACGGCCCAGACUCCUACGGGAGGCAGCAGUGGGGAAUAUUGGACAAUGGGCGAAAGCCUGAUCCAGCAAUGCCGCGUGAGUGAUGAAGGCCUUAGGGUUGUAAAGCUCUUUUACCCGGGAAGAUAAUGACAGUACCGGGAGAAUAAGCCCCGGCUAACUUCGUG